rnacentral:rRNA from 1 species
GGUUGAUCCUGCCAGUAGUCAUAUGCUUGUCUCAAAGAUUAAGCCAUGCAUGUCUAAGUAUAAACCACUUUAUACGGUGAAACUGCGAAUGGCUCAUUACAUCAGUUAUAGUUUAUUUGAUAUUACCUUACUACUUGGAUAACCGUAGUAAUUCUAGAGCUAAUACAUGCACAAAAUCCCGACUUCUGGAAGGGAUGUAUUUAUUAGAUACAAAACCAAACUGGGGGCAACCUCAGUCGUGGUGAUUCAUAAUAACUUUGCGAAUCGCAUGGCUUUACGCUGGCGAUGCAUC